AGAGUUUGAUCAUGGCUCAGAACGAACGCUGGUGGCGUGCUUAACACAUGCAAGUCGAACGAGAAAGUUUCCUUCGGGAAAUUAGUAAAGUGGCGCAAGGGUGAGUAUCACGUGAAUAAUCUGCCCUCGAGAUCGGGAUAACAUGGUGAAAACUAUGCUAAUACCGGAUAAGACCACAUUUCAUAAGAAAUGCGGUAAAAGGAGUCUCAAUCUUCACUCGAGGAUGAGUUCGCGCAACAUUAGCUUGUUGGUGAGAUAAAAGCUCACCAAGGCUACGAUGUUUAGCCGGCCUGAGAGGGUGAUCGGCCACACUGGAACUGAGACACGGUCCAGACUCCUACGGGAGGCAGCAGUGGGGAAUAUUGCGCAAUGGGCGAAAGCCUGACGCAGCAACGCCGUGUGAGCGAUGAAGGCUUUAGGGUCGUAAAGCUCUGUCAAAUGGGAAGAAUUUUGACGGUACCAUUAGAGGAAGCCCCGGCUAACUCCGUGCCAGCAGCCGCGGUAAUACGGAGGGGGCAAGCGUUGUUCGGAAUUAUUGGGCGUAAAGCGUAUGUAGGCGGUUAAACAAGUCAGGCGUGCAAGCCCGUGGCUCAACCACGGAAUUGCGUUUGAAACUGUUUAACUUGAGUACAGGAGAGGAAAGCGGAAUUCCCAGUGUAGCGGUGAAAUGCAUUGAUAUUGGGAAGAACAUCUGUGGCGAAGG
rnacentral:rRNA from 1 species